AUCAAUAUUUUUUAUUCAGGUGUGGGGAUAAUAUGUAAGACUGCAGUGAAGCGAUGUACCAGAUUAAUCCCUGGCCAAAGGCAUCGUACUUAAAUCAGACUACUGAUCCAGCCACAUCAGCCUUUUGUGAGGUCUGUUUAAAGUAGACUUAAAAUGAACUGCAGGUUCCUGAGAGGUGGACUGUGAGCACAGAAACACAUGUUCAUACAUACAGCUGCAGCAAGCUUACAUUAAUUUUAAAUAGAUUUGUUACUCUGAUGUCUGUCUCUGUGUUAGUCCUCUGACAGACUGGUACCUGUCCAGGUGUGCUCUACCUAUGACUACUGGGACAGGCUCUGGCUCCUGUAAUAGAAAUUUUCUAUUAUUCUCAUUUAAAGUAUUUAAGUGCUUAUGCAUAUGCUUAGUUGUGACACUGUUAUAGACUGUUCAGUGAAAGUUUCUAAAACUAGAUGAACUUACUUCAGCGUCAGCAGUUUGAGAAAACAACUCCCUUUACAGGUGCUGAUAAGGCCAAGGGCACAAAACAGCGUAACCAUUGAUCUGUUAGGUUUCAUAGCGAGGCGCGUGAAGUGUGGUAUGAUCAGUUUGUAACUUCCUCUUUCUUGGAAUGCAAAGAGGAGUGUGAGCACCACUUCUGUGGCAGAGCUGACAUGACUGUGAACUUAGAUGUUUGAUGUGUGUUGGCUCUCCUGCACGCAGUAAUAAAUAGCUUGAUCACAGCAGAUUUUAUUUACAAAAUUCCACGACACGCCCCCUCCCACUGUGAACCUGAAUUGAAUAUUCAGAAGAAAAUGAAUGGAUAGACUGACAUUUGUUUAAAUACUUCUAGAAAUCUGAGCUGUUGGUGUGUCCUUGGAUUGUGUGAACAGUUCUCCACAGUCACUGUCCACAUGGGUCAGUGGGACCAAGAAGCACUCUGCUAAUGUGGGACUCUGACCAGCAACAUCCAGCAAGACCCAGGCAGCGUUUUCUAUCUCCCAGCUGCAGUUUUUUGUUUGUCUGUGACUGGAGAGUCAGAUUUUUGUUGAAGCUGGAGGAACAGAGAGGUUAAUACACGCUACUGAUCCCUGAUGGGAGAAUCAUCACCUCUGCCAACAAAGAAGCCUGGUGGAUAUUUGUUUACAGUCUGAUGAUGGGACAUCAUGCUCUGCAUCUUCAAAGUUUGUCUCUUGAUUAUUAUUCAUACACAGUAAUGUGAAGUAUGCUCAUAUCUAGUAUAACUGGACCAACCUGGUGCUCUUCAUUUAUGGAGGCUGUUGAGUCUGAAUGUUGGAUGUUGUGUAUCUCGUGUUCUCUGGGCUUUGUUGUCCUCAGUCUUUUGCAGGAUCAGAAAACAAAACCAGGAUGACAAUAAAUGUUUCUUCUCCAAUUGGAUGAUGAUAAGACUGUGACACGGGAUGCCACCUUUAGUCUUGUGAUGAAGCAAAGCUCAGGAAGAAGUGUGAUUAAAUGGUACCCACAUGUGUGCUGCUGAGAAGGAUGUACAGGGGCACCUGCAGCCAAAUCCAAGCCUCCUCAGCAACUUCAGGUCUGUCAGCGUGCUGAGGUCAUAGAAACAAGAAAAGAAGCUUCAGAGUGUUGUUUACAGUUUUCUGUCAUCAUGAUCUCCCUGAAGUUUAUCACUAUUAGGCAAGCAAGCAGAGCGGCAGUUUGUGCUCAGAGAUGGUGACGGUGUGGAGAGACGGUGGUGUUUCCUCAGAAGAACUAGCAGAGUCACAAAGGGCACGAGUCCAUCUCACCACCUUGACUUGUUGAUCAGUGGACACACUUGUCUCCCCUUUAAAGGAGACACUCUUAGAGAGAGACAAUCAGAGUCAUCAUAAAAUAUGGGCAGGAUAUCAGUCUUGGACUGUCUAACCUGCAGGAGCAGCACUGAAUGAUCACCACACAUGAGCAUGUUCCUGCAACAUUCAGCAGCUCUGCUUUUGCUGGAGAGGAAACUACACCGGUGUACUGGGAUGUUUCAGCAACACGUGCUAGACGCUGUUCCUUCAUGGUGACAUCACCAGAGACGGCCCCGCCCACCUCAUGACCUCGCCAUUGAUCAUGAUGAUUUUAAUGAUGACAAC